rnacentral:pre_miRNA from 1 species
AAAGUACUCGCUCCGUCCCAAAAUUCUUGUCUUAGAUUUGUCUAGAUACGGAUGUAUCAAGUCACAUUUUAGUAUUAGAUACAUCUGUAUCUAGACAAAUCUAAGACAAGAAAUUUGGGACAGAGGGAGUAGUUG